CGCCUGGAUGUGUCGGCCAUGGUUUAACGACAGGCACCAGGGGACAGCUGAACUGUGGGAUUAGGGGCUGAGAUACAGCAAAGGGUGGCGAAGCCAGAGCCCUUGCCCCGAACGUCUGGCGGGU
rnacentral:sRNA from 12 species